GAUGAACGCUAGCUAUAGGCUUAACACAUGCAAGUCGAGGGGAAACGGCAUUAUGUGCUUGCACAUUUUGGACGUCGACCGGCGCACGGGUGAGUAUCGCGUAUCCAACCUGCCCUUCACUUGGGGAUACCCCGUUGAAAGACGGCCUAAUACCCGAUGUAAUUCAUUGAUGGCAUCAGAUAUGAAUAAAAGAUUUAUCGGUAAAGGAUGGGGAUGCGUCUGAUUAGCUUGUUGGUGAGGUAACGGCUCACCAAGGCGACGAUCAGUAGGGGUUCUGAGAGGAAGGUCCCCCACAUUGGAACUGAGACACGGUCCAAACUCCUACGGGAGGCAGCAGUGAGGAAUAUUGGUCAAUGGGCGCAAGCCUGAACCAGCCAAGUAGCGUGCAGGAAGACGGCCCUAUGGGUUGUAAACUGCUUUUAUACGAGAAUAAUUUGAUGCACGUGUGCGUUAUUGCAUGUAUCGUAUGAAUAAGGACCGGCUAAUUCCGUG
rnacentral:rRNA from 1 species